GUGGGGAAUAUUCCGCAAUGGACGAAAGUCUGACGGAGCAACGCCGCGUGAGUGAUGAAGGUUUUCGGACUGUAAAGCUCUGUUGUUUAGGACGAAAGUGCCUGUUGCGAACAGUUACAGGUAUUGACGGUACUAAACGAGGAAGCCACGGCUAACUACGUGCCAGCAGCCGCGGUAAUACGUAGGUGGCAAGCGUUGUCCGGAAUUAUUGGGCGUAAAGAGCAUGUAGGCGGAGAUUUAAGUCUGUUGUGAAAAUGCGGGGCUCAACCCCGUAUUGCGAUAGAAACUGAAUUUCUUGAGUGCAGGAGAGGAAAGGGGAAUUCCCAGUGUAGCGGUGAAAUGCGUAGAUAUUGGGAGGAACACCAGUGGCGAAGGCGCCUUUCUGGACUGUGUCUGACGCUGAGAUGCGAAAGCCAGGGUAGCGAACGGGAUUAGAAACCCCAGUAGUCC
rnacentral:rRNA from 1 species